AUGCACGCUUUCCAAGGAUCUGGGCUCCGUCUGUAGUCCUGGGUUCUCCAAGAGCGUGCCAGAGAAACGGGGAGACUUUGACUGCCUGGGCUGAACAGUGCCUGCGGCGGUCACUCUACUGUCCGACACCC